UCUAUUAAUCUAUUAAAUUAUAUGAAUCCACAAUACGUUUUGCCACGUGGCAAGUUUUCUUUCACCUUCACCACCAUAUGAUUCUUUCUCUUUCUCUCCAUCAAAUUUUUAAUUAACGUAUCUAAUUAAUUAAUACAUCUAAAAUGAUCUGCUACUAAACUUCUAAUUAAUGUAUUUAAAUUCUUCAUUAAAUUUUUAAUUAACGUAUCUAAUUAAUACAUCUAAAAUAGCCUACUACUACACUUUCAAUUAAUGUAUUUAAAUGGUUCCAUGUUAAGUUUUUUUUCACCUUCACUACCAUGUGAUUCUUCGCCUUUUCUUCAUCAAAUUUUUAAUUAACGUAUCUAUUUAAUACAUCUAAAAUGGUCUACUACUAAACUUCCAAUUAAUGUAUUUAAAUUCUCUAUUAAAUUUUUAAUUAACGUAUCUAAUUAAUACAUCUAAAAUGGCCCACUACUAAACUUCCAAUUAAUGUAUUUAAAUAUUCCCCCUGUCAUUUAUAAUUCUCACCAUUUUAUUUCUAAUUAAUUUAUUAUGAUCCUUCACUUUUCCUCCACAAGACUUCUAAUUAAUCCAUCUUCGUCAAGUUUAAUU
rnacentral:lncRNA from 1 species